rnacentral:rRNA from 1 species
GAUGAACGCUGGCGGCGUGCCUAAUACAUGCAAGUCGAGCGAACAGAUGAGGAGCUUGCUCCUCUGACGUUAGCGGCGGACGGGUGAGUAACACGUGGAUAACCUACCUAUAAGACUGGGAUAACUUCGGGAAACCGGAGCUAAUACCGGAUAAUAUAUUGAACCGCAUGGUUCAAUAGUGAAAGACGGUUUUGCUGUCACUUAUAGAUGGAUCCGCGCCGCAUUAGCUAGUUGGUAAGGUAACGGCUUACCAAGGCGACGAUGCGUAGCCGACCUGAGAGGGUGAUCCGCCACACUGGAACUGAGACACGGUCCAGACUCCUACGGGAGGCAGCAGUAGGGAAUCUUCCGCAAUGGGCGAAAGCCUGACGGAGCAACGCCGCGUGAGUGAUGAAGGUCUUCGGAUCGUAAAACUCUGUUAUUAGGGAAGAACAAAUGUGUAAGUAACUAUGCACGUCUUGACGGUACCUAAUCAGAAAGCCACGGCUAACUACGUG